UUGGCUGAAAAGCCAAUGGUGCGAAGCUACCAUCUGUUGGAUUAUGACUGAACGCCUCUAAGUCAGAAUCCUUGCUAGAACGCAACGAUAAUUACCUCCGGAGAAUCUUAGGCGAACAAGGAUAGAGAACGGGCUUGCCCGCUCUCCUGCGUCCCAAUGUGCCAAGAGGGAAAACAACCCUCAAGGCACUAAAGUAUAUCAAAGUUUAAAAUUUCUGGAGAUAAAUCCUUUGCAGACGACUUAAAUAAAGAACGGGGUAUUGUACGUUGUAGAGUAGCCUUGUUGCUACGAUCUUCUGAGAUUAAGCCUUUGUUUUACGAUUUGU
rnacentral:ncRNA from 1 species